UACGAAGGGGGCUAGCGUUGCUCGGAAUUACUGGGCGUAAAGGGCGCGUCGGCGGAUAUCUAAGUUGGGGGUGAAAUCCUGGGGCUCAACCUCAGAAUUGCCUCCGAUACUGGCAGUCUCGAGUGCGGGAGAGGUGAGUGGAAUUCCCAGUGUAGAGGUGAAAUUCGUAGAUAUUGGGAAGAACACCAGUGGCGAAGGCGGCUCACUGGCCCGUAACUGACGCUGAGGUGCGAAAGCGUGGGGAGCAAACAGG
rnacentral:rRNA from 1 species